rnacentral:lncRNA from 1 species
UAUUUAUAUAUGUAGAAGCCUAAGAAAAUUAAUUCGAAGAAGGGGAUAGGCGAUAAAUUUCGGCCAAAUCCAAAGGACCCAUCAGGUUAGCCUUAGUUCGCCUCCAAAAUCAGCUUAGUAUUAAGCCUAAGCCAAUAACCCAAUUUCUAACCCAAUACUUUCGACCUAAUUUCAGCCCAAACCCGUAGAAUCCUCUUGAUUCUUAGUCUUAACCCUUUCUUUUCAUUAAAUGGUGUCCAAUGUUCUUCUUUCUCUUUUGACCAAACGCCAAAAUAUUUUCCAACCCAACCUAGAAAAUUCUUCACUAUUUUUGGCUUAAAAUCUCUGCUCAUGCUGCUAUCUCUGCCAUGGCUUCGAACGUGCAAAAUCGAAUGGCCAACUUGACUUAAAAUUUAAUUUUUCUAUUCAAAAUCCUGCCCAAAAUCAACCCUAAUUUUUUCUUAUAAAUAUAUGCUUUAGGGAAACGAUUUGAAAAAAUAGCUUGAACUCCAUCCUUUAAUUACGCUUCAGUCGCCCUUUUACCCAAAAACUAGAAGCUGAGAGCUGCCUCCUUUUUUCCCCAAAAUUAAUGCUUUUCAGCCGUCCUUUUACCCCAAAACCUCAUGGUUAUAAGCACCUCCUAACUCUAAACUCUGUCUGAGGCUGCUGCCUUUUUCUUUAAACAAAAAGAAUCAAGCGUCUUUGUCCUAUUCAAGUCUAAGCAAGCGGGCUCGAGGUCGGAGUUCUAUAGUGCACCUAAGAUCCCCGCCUCAAUUUGCUGCCCUGCAAAAACAAAUGGAGUCUUAGUUCGAGACUUUCAGAAUGGAGUCUCAUAAGACUCAACGCUGUCCUACCCAAGCAUAGGGUCAUGACAUACCAUAUUCCAUAGAUGCACCAAACAAUAAGAAAACAAGCGAAACGCUUGGGGGCGUCUAUACGGUUCUUAUUCUCUUUUAUUAUUUAUUGUACCUAAUCUUUUACUAUUGUUGAUUUAUGUGUAUUUAUCUCAAUUUUGGAACUUAAUCAUCUAGGUUCUUUAUCUCGUGCUUAAAAUCAGUAAUAAAAAGUUUAAAAUCAGUAAUAACUUUCCACCUAGUAGCCACUGGCGUGUCUAUUUUUUUUAAGUAAGCUACUAUACUCCUAAACACUAUUUCAAGUAAGGUCAAUUUGUUAAAGUGAUACUUUUGAGAGCUUGUCGUCAAAUUUGUUUCCAACAUUGUUAAGUUGGAGUUUUCUUCAUAAAUGGUGCAACGCCACUUAAGUAUAACUAACUAGUUUUUUGAAAGACAAGAAGUAUUUCAAUCAAGCGUUGUAUUUCAGUUCACUUUUUAAAAUUAAGUUACUUUAAGGAUAUGCUCUUUUUUGUAGUUUCAUAUGGAAAAGCUUUUCCAAAAGUAUAAAAGUUAAAGUCCAACCAUUAUUCGUCUGAGUUUGAAAUGCUUCAAAGCAAUUUUCUUUCUCAAUUAUGAAUUUAUACAAUUCUAAAGUGACUAAUUUCUCUGCAUGGCAUUACUGUAAAGAUAUUUUCUAAAUCAAUUAACAAAUAUAUUUUUUUAAUGUACACGUGUGUUACUACAUAAUUUUUAAAAUCAAUUAACCUAAGUUUGGCCGGUUAACCGUUAUUAACGGAUCAUAUAGGGCGCUUUAAUAACCUUCCCUAUAAGAUUAAUUAAAACUCUUACCCAUAAUCUCUAAGGUUAAGGAGAUCAUAAAAUAGAGUUAACUUUAGGUAUUAUUUAGCUAAAAUUGGUGUCCUAAUUCACCGUUGAAAUAAUUAGGUGGCGACUCUAUUACUAACUAAACCUUCAAAAUUACCAAUAUGUUAUGCUCUAAUUUGAUCCAUGUUAAAAAGGGAUAUAACAGCAUGCACAUGUAUCUCUAAUGGUAUAGCAGGCAUAGAAGCAUGGCUUACAGAGACUUAGGUGAGCUGCACUCCUCGAGACGACCCACAGCCAGCAGAUUCUCUUUCAAAUUACUAUGUUUACUUUCUAUCCAAUAUUGUAUUACGGAUGGUUACUGUAUUACAUUAUUUCUUAGAAAUUGCUCAUGCACUUGUGAGACCGGGUUCUAGGAUGGUUAUGAGAUAUCUUGUAUUAACUUAUUAACAAUCAUAUUCGAUUUGAAAUGAUUAUCUUUUACUAGUGAAAUUUAAGGAGAAUUGUAGUUUUCAAAAUUAUCAAAAUGAG